CUCCACGUAUCUUUGGGACCUGUCAAGUGUGGCAGUCUCUUCCUAGCCAUGGAAGAGCUUAUUCUUGUUUACCAGCAAAGCUGUCACCAUUUAUUUAUUUAUUUUUAUUUAUUUUUUUUUU